rnacentral:rRNA from 1 species
UACGUAGGGUGCGAGCGUUGUCCGGAAUUAUUGGGCGUAAAGAGCUCGUAGGCGGUGUGUCACGUCGGCCGUGAAAACCUGCAGCUUAACUGUGGGCUUGCGGUCGAUACGGGCAUCACUGGAGUUCGGCAGGGGAGACUGGAAUUCCUGGUGUAGCGGUGAAAUGCGCAGAUAUCAGGAAGAACACCCGUGGCGGAAGGCGGCUCUCUGGGACGGUACU